rnacentral:rRNA from 1 species
UACGUAGGGUGCGAGCGUUGUCCGGAAUUAUUGGGCGUAAAGGGCUCGUAGGCGGUUUGUCGCGUCGGGAGUGAAAAUCCAGGGCUUAACUCUGGACUGGCUUCCGAUACGGGCAGACUAGAGGUAUGCAGGGGGAGAACGGAAUUCCUGGUGUAGCGGUGAAAUGCGCAGAUAUCAGGAGGAACACCGGUGGCGAAGGCAGCACUCUGGGACGUGACUGACGCUGAGACGCGAAAGCGUGGGGAGCAAACAGG